AGUGAACGCUGGCGGUAGGCCUAACACAUGCAAGUCGAACGGCAGCACAGUAAGAGCUUGCUCUUACGGGUGGCGAGUGGCGGACGGGUGAGGAAUACAUCGGAAUCUACUUUUUCGUGGGGGAUAACGUAGGGAAACUUACGCUAAUACCGCAUACGACCUACGGGUGAAAGCAGGGGAUCUUCGGACCUUGCGCGAUUGAAUGAGCCGAUGUCGGAUUAGCUAGUUGGCGGGGUAAAGGCCCACCAAGGCGACGAUCCGUAGCUGGUCUGAGAGGAUGAUAGGCGACACUGGAAGUGGGACACGGACCAGACUCCUACGGGAGGCAGCAGUGGGGAAUAUGGGGCAAUGGGCGGAAGCCUGAUCCAGCCAUACCGCGUGGGUGAAGAAGGCCUUCGGGUUGUAAAGCCCUUUUGUUGGGAAAGAAAAGCAGCAGGUUAAUACCCCGCUGUUCUGACGGUACCCAAAGAAUAAGCACCGGCUAACUUCGUG
rnacentral:rRNA from 1 species